rnacentral:lncRNA from 10 species
CCUCUUUGUUUACUACAUGUGGAGCAGACUUUAAAUCACUGCUCGACGAAGUCAAUGAUGUUCACAUACGUAGAAGUUUCUCAAUGCUGCCUGCUUUAUAUUCAGAUUAUGUUGAUUUUCCUCCAAAUGACAAAUCUGAAUUACAGAUAAUUUAGUAAUUGGUGUUUAAUACUUACAAAUACGUAAAGCAACAAACUGGAAUAAAACCAAGGGAUGCUUUGUGGAAGUACUUGAGAAUGAUGUUGAUGUCUUUUCAAAGAUAACUCCGCUAAAUGGUAGUACCUGUAGUCUGUGAUGCAGACGUGGCUGAUAACUUAACAAAUGUCUUCGUGUCUGCGGCUCAGCUGUGCUGUUGUCCCAGGUGCCCCACCUUGGCUGGCAUAUCUCCCAGGCCAGCACUCUUGUGACUCUGCCCCCUACAUGCUGGGGAGUCUCUAUCUCUCUCUGGGACAGCCAACCACCUGUCAGACAACAUCAUCUGUCAAUCUCCUAAUCUUCAAACUCUACAUGUCAAAACAGAAGUCGUUUUCCCACUAAACCUAAACCAGCACCUUCUGAAUUCCUUUUAUGAGAUGAUGGCCCCACUCUUCACCCUACUGCCCAACGCAGGAACUGCAGAAAUCCAUCUUGACCCUUCUUCUCCCCAUACAGGGGAGCGUGAUGUUUCAGAGCAAAGGCUCUGAAGAAAACAGCUCCAUUCACGAGAGAAAGCAGUACUAAUUUUAACCAUAGAAGUACAAGACAUAUUCUGAUAUUAUACAACAUUGCUGAGAGAAAUUAAAGAUCAAAAUAAAUGGAGAGGCAUUCCAUGUUUAUAAAUCGGAAGACCCAAUACUGUUAAGAUGGCAGUUCUUCCUUGACUCAUCUAUAGAUUCAAAACAUUCCCUAUGGAAACCCCAGCAGGCCUUUUUGCAAAAACUGACAACCAGACCUUGUAAGUUAUACAGAAAUGCAGAGGACCCAGAUUAGCCAAAAUAAUGUCAAAAAGAAUGGAGAAUGUAUACGUCCCAAUUUCAAAAUUUAAAUAACUCUUACAUAUAUGUUCAGUUGAUUUUUGACAGGGACACAGUGGGGAAAAGCAGUCCUUUUAACACAUGGUGCUAAGACCACUGAAUAUCCAUAGGAAUUUAGAUCUUUACCUCAUACCAUAUAUAAAAAUUAAUUUAAAACAGCUCACAGGCCCAAAUUUAAGAGCUAAAACUAUAAAACUUCCAGAACAAAACAUAGGAGAAAAUCUUUGUGACCUUUAGUUAAGCAGAGAGAGAUACAGUACUAAAAGCAUAACUCGUAUAAGGAAACUAAUACAUUAGGCUUCAUUAAAAUUAAAAACAAGUGCAUUUCAAAAGACACCAUUAGGAAAAGAUAAGCCACAGACUGGGAGAAAAUAUUUGCAAAUCAUGUCUUAAAAGGACUUGUAUCCAGAAUAUAUUAAGAACUCUUACUAUUUAAUAAGAAAAAAAACCCAACUGAAAAGUGAGCAAAAGAUUUAAAUAGACAUUUCACCAAAGGUAUAUAAACGGCCCAUAAGCACAUGAAAAAUGCUCAUCAUUAGCUAUCAAGGAAAUGUAAAUCAAAGCCACAAUGAGUUACCACUUCACAUCCACAAGGAUGGCUAUAAUUUUAAAAGACACAUAAUCACAAGUGUUGGUGAGGACGUGGAGAUAUCAGAACCCUCCUACAUUGCUGGUGCAAAUGUAAAAUGGUGCAGCUUCUUUGGAAAACAGUCUGGCAAUUUCCUAAAAAGUUAAACAUAUGUCUGCACAAACACUUGUACACAAAUGGUCACAGCAGCAUGAAAACAAUCUACAUGUCUAUCAACUGGUGAAUGAACAAACAAAAUCUGACACAGCCAUACAAUGGAACAGCAUUCAGCCCAGCAAUAAAAAGGAAAGCAAUUACUGAUAGAUGCCACUACAGGGAGGAACUUCAGAAACAUUACUGAGUGAAAGAAGCCAGACACAAAAGACCAUGUCUGAUUCCAUUUAUAGGAAAUGUUCAGAAAUGGCAAACCUGAAGGACAGAAAGCCGAUCAGUUGCUGUGUGGAAAUGGAAAUGGGGCUUAAUUGCAAACUGGAAUAAGAUUUUUUUUUUUUUUGAGUUGUUCUAACAUUGGUUGUGAUAGUUGCACAACUCUAUAAACUUACUGAACAACCAUCUAAGUAUAAACCUAAAAUGGGUAAAUUUUGUGGCAGGUAAAUUGUAUCUCCUUAAAACUGUUAGGGGAGAGAGGGAGGCACAGGCUCUUCAUUCAGAGUACCAGGGUCCCAGUCCUCGCCCUUUUACUUAUCCACUCUGUCGCUUGGGGCAAGUUAAACUUUGUGCCUUAGUUUUCUCGUCUGUAAACUGGCAAUUAUAGUAGUACAUACUUCGUUAUUGUGAGGAUUAAAUCGGUUAAUACCAGUAAAACGUCUAGCAGAGUGCCAAACACACAGCAAGCAUUCAGUGUUAGCUGUUGUCUCAUUAUGACCAUUCGGAUUACACGCAUCCAGUUGUCUUGCCAGUUUCCCUUGGUAAUUAGUUCUCAAUCACCUUUUCUUCAUACCUUCUUCCCUGGCCUUAAGCUCUGUGCCACCUUUUAGAUGAAAGGCUUGUCCUGUCUCCCUCACUGCCCCCAGGCCUGUUCCCUCACAUUUCACUUCCACAGCAUGGAGGGACCACACCAGGUCAAAACCAACUACAGGAUCAAGUUCAACUGCACACAACUCCCUCCACCAUCCUGUCUCUGUGGAGCCCGUCACCCCUGUCCACCCCCAUGCCUACCCCACAUACACAUCACAGUGGCAAAUUUCCUCACACAUCCCAUGCAGCUGCUCUUGCCAUCGGUCCCCUCUGCAGAAUGCCCUGCUCUCUCCCCCUCUUGUCUUUCUAUAUGCUUGUCCUGUCAGGCUCAGCUGAGACAAAUCCUUCAUAAGACUUCCCUGAACCUCUUGGGCUGGGAUCACUAGUUGGCCUUUAUAUUUGUCCAUAAUAUGCCUGUAAUAGCCUGGGCAUAUCUCCAACACUGAUUGACAGAUUACAAAACACACUGUCAGAUUAGAACACACAUCUCACAUCUGGAAGCAUGAAUCCAGCACAAUGCAGGUGCUCGACAGAAUGUUAGCUGGCCAAAUGAAGGACCAGACAGGCAGCGCUUUCUCAGCUCCUCAUAUACUGAAAAUGCUCACAGACUUCCAAACAGCUUAGGACUUUGUCUAGGAACAUGGAAAUCUUAGGGAGACUCUCCCUCUGUUGAGGAGCACUGCAAGCAGCACCUGAGUGGAAGGACAGGGCCUGCCGUCUUCCGUUUGAUGCCGUAACUGUCAGCAGUUCAGGAGCAUUUGCAGAGAUGGCUGGUAAUGUUAAUUUUGCUGGUGGAAUAUUUCCUAACUUGCCCAACAUCCGAGUUUCUAAACUCUGAAACUCUUGAUUAAGAAUCUUUGAGAUAUCUCAUAGCGGGAAUAUAAGACAAUCAACUUCAGAGGGAUGUAACAGCUUAAUGACUGAACUUUAAAUUAUGGGGGAAAAUACAAUAAUCUGAUGUCUGGGUUCCAUCCAAGAUAUUCUGAUUUAAGUGGUCUGGGAUAUAACCUAUGCAGAAAAUUUUUUUAAAGUUCACUCAGUAAUUCUAAAGAAUUAUAGUGACCCAGCAAGGGUCAAGAUCUGCUCUUAUAUUAGUUCCUCUGUCAUUUUCUCAUGUAUAAAUGGUAGCAGUUAUGCUUAGAUUUAUGGAUAACUGAAAGUCCUUCUGAAAAUAAAAUGCAUAAAUGUUAAUCAGAUUCCUUUUUCCUAUUCUCACGACUUUGGGUCAUCUUAAAAGUUUGGGCUGGGCACAGUGGCUCACACCUGUAAUCCCAGCACUUUGGGAGGCCGAGGCAGGUGGAUCACUUGAGGUCAGG